GCAUAGAUAGCUCAGUGAAAGAGUGGUGGUGGGGCGUUUACCCAUGCGGCCCGGGUUCGAUUCCCGGUCGAUGUA